AUUGAACGCUGGCGGCAGGCCUAACACAUGCAAGUCGAACGGGUGGAGGACGGGCGAGUAAUGCUUGGGAAUCUAGCUUAUGGAGGGGGAUAACUACGGGAACCUGUAGCUACUACCGCGUACCAUAGGUUGAGCCCAAGUGGGUUUAGGUAGUUGGUGAGGUAAAGGAUCACCAAGCCGACGAUCUCUAGCUGGUCUGAGAGGAUGAACAGCCACACUGGGACUGAGACACGGCCCAGACUCCUACGGGAGGCAGCAGUGGGGAAUAUUGCGCAAUGGGGGAAACCUGACGCAGCCAUGCCGCGUGAAUGAAGAAGGCCUUCGGGUUGUAAAGUUCUUUCGGUAGCGAGGCGUUAUCUACAGAAGAAGCACCGGCUAACUCCGUGCCAGCAGCCGCGGUAAUAC
rnacentral:rRNA from 1 species